CGGGGGCCCGCACAAGCGGCGGAGCAUGCGGAUUAAUUCGAUGCAACGCGAAGAACCUUACCAAGGCUUGACAUGUUCUCGAUCGCCGUAGAGAUACGGUUUCCCCUUUGGGGCGGGUUCACAGGUGGUGCAUGGUUGUCGUCAGCUCGUGUCGUGAGAUGUUGGGUUAAGUCCCGCAACGAGCGCAACCCUCGUUCCAUGUUGCCAGCACGUAAUGGUGGGGACUCAUGGGAGACUGCCGGGGUCAACUCGGAGGAAGGUGAGGACGACGUCAAAUCAUCAUGCCCCUUAUGUCUUGGGCUUCACGCAUGCUACAAUGGCCGGUACAAUGGGUUGCGAUACUGUGAGGUGGAGCUAAUCCCAAAAAGCCGGUCUCAGUUCGGAUUGGGGUCUGCAACUCGACCCCAUGAAGUCUGGAGUCGCUAGUAAUCGCAGAUCAGCAACGCUGCGGUGAAUACGUUCCCGGGCCUUGUACACACCGCCCGUCAAGUCACGAAAGUUGGUAACACCCGAAGCCGGUG
rnacentral:rRNA from 1 species